rnacentral:rRNA from 1 species
CCCUUAGAUGUCCUGGGCUGCACGCGUGCUACACUGAUUUCAUCAAUAUGUUUGUUUUUCGGAAGAACGAAUAAAACACGAAAUGAAAUCGUGCUGGGAAUAGAUAAUUGUAAUUAUUUAUCUUGAACGAGGAAUUCCUAGUAAAUGUAAAUCAUCAAUUUGCGUUGAUUAAGUCCCUGCCCUUUGUACACACCGCCCGUCGCUCCUACCGAUUGAAUGUUCCGGUGAGCUUCUUGGACUAAUAGGAUUUCAUAUCUUGUUAGAAAAAGCAGUGAACCUUGACAUUUAGAGGAAGGAGAAGUCGUAGCA